GCCUCCGUAGCUCAAAUGGACAGAGCGGCGAGCUUCUACCUCGCGACCGGUGCGGGUUCGAGUCCCGCCGGAGGCU
rnacentral:tRNA from 1 species